rnacentral:rRNA from 1 species
AGAGUUUGAUCCUGGCUCAGGAUGAACGCUAGCUACAGGCUUAACACAUGCAAGUCGAGGGGAAACGACAUCGAAAGCUUGCUUUUGAUGGGCGUCGACCGGCGCACGGGUGAGUAACGCGUAUCCAACCUGCCCACCACUUGGGGAUAACCUUGCGAAAGUAAGACUAAUACCCAAUGAUAUCUCUAGAAGACAUCUGAAAGAGAUUAAAGAUUUAUCGGUGAUGGAUGGGGAUGCGUCUGAUUAGCUUGUUGGCGGGGUAACGCCACCAAGGCGACGAUCAGUAGGGGUCUGAGAGGAGUCCCCANAUUGGAACUGAGACACGGUCCAAACUCCGUACGGGAGGCA